rnacentral:rRNA from 1 species
UACAGAGGUCUCAAGCGUUGUUCGGAUUCAUUGGGCGUAAAGGGCGCGUAGGCUGCGGGGCAAGUCGGGUGUGAAAUCUCAGAGCUCAACUCUGAAACUGCACUCGAUACUGCUUUGCUUGAGGACUGGAGAGGAGAUUGGAAUUCACGGUGUAGCAGUGAAAAUGCGUAGAGAUCAUGAGGAAGACCAGUGGCGAAGGCGGGGUCUCUGGACAGUUCCUGACACUGAAGACACGAAGGCCAGGGGAGCAAAACGGG